GACUUAGAAAUUUCAUUUAAUUAAUCAGAGUAAUCAUCAAAUAACGGAAUGCUACACUUCUAAAAAUCAUAAAACAGAUAAUUAACAAAUUAUCUUUCAACAUAAUUAAUUCAAAUACUUCGCAGCGGAUUAAGUUCAUCAUCAUAAAUAAGUUUUGGCACGCAGGCCUCAUCAAACGCAUUAUAAGUUCAGUAAAUCAACAUCAAAACAUAGCAUGUACGUAAAGGAAAGAGAAAUAGCCACUAAAGACCCCUCCCGUUACGUAUCAGAGCCCUAAGACACUUGAGCCACCACUCCUACUACACUUUAAUACCUGCAAGUUACCCAUACGAAGGGCAACAUUUUCAAGCAGAAGGGGUGAGAUUCACAAUCAAUAAUAAUAAUGUAUAAUUCAUCAAAUGCAACUAACAACUUAAACUCCAUUAAUUAGUAAUAGUAAUUCUUUUAACGGCUCCUAAACCAUAUCAUAUACUCAUCAUAUCAACAAUCAUAACUCGAUAUCAUAAACAACAUCAUUUAACUUCAUAAUUAACAUCUUAAUCAUAAUCAUAUAACAUCAUACUCAUAAUUCGUAUACAACAUGACAACUUCAUAAUGAAUGACCUAAACAACGUAACAACAUCAUAUUCAUAGUUCAUAUACAACAUAACAACAUCAUUAAUUCAUGUUAACAUUCUCCACCUAGCACCUUAUUAACAACUCAUGAAUAGAGGACAACUUAGCAACUAUAUGUAACAUCAUCAUUUCAUAAUAAUAAUUAUUCAUCAAACGUUCCAUUAGCAAUUCAUGAAUAAAAGACAACCUAUCAACUUAACAUAACCAUCAUCAAGUACAUUUAACAACUCAUAGAUAACAUCACAUAAUCAUCAUCACAACAUUCAUAAUCAUCAUCAUGUAACAUCAUAACAACCUCAUAUUCAACACCAUAAACAGUCAUCAUAACAUCAUAAUCAAUAUCAUAAUAAUAUAAACAACAACAUAUAUUCAACAAUAAUGUUCUUACUUCUUUAACUUUAGUAACACUUGCUAAUUCAACCAACAACGACGACAACAACAAGAUUCAACGACAACGACAACAAAUCUCUCAAGAACAACGGCAACUACAAUUAUCCAAUAUAUGUAUAUAUUUCAUGAUCAACAAUAUCAUCAAUAAUAGAUAUCCAAUUCAUCAAUUAAAUCUAACAUCCUGUCAUAAUAAUAAUUCAUCAAUAUAUAAGUAUAUUAUCAUUAACAACAUCAACAACAAAUGGUAAUUAAAACCAACAACAACGACUCAUGCAAGACAUGACAUUCCCCCUAAUACUCCUCAAUAAAUGCAACUAUGCAUGUGGUACCAUAAUUCAGGGCCGUGACCCACACCGCUGUCGAAUGGUUAAAGCAUUCUCAACAGGACCUAAGUCCUCACCGCUCCACACCGCUUUGAACAACUAGUGUUCCACCGCUUUGAACGACAAGGCGUUCCAGAGCCGAAGCUCUCCCACUUUGAUGUUUAUGCAACUACCCAACCUGUGUAUCUCUACAUACAACUCCACAACAAAUGCAUAUGUACUUAUAUGACUCACCACGACAAUCCAAUUAAUAAUACUUCAACCUUUGAAAAGAAUUCAGCAACAUGUAUAAUUUAUUUAAAUAUAAAUAUACAUCAUAGUCAACAAUAAUCCAUCAUAAUUGAUCCAACGAAUCUUAAUAGCAAGAUCCAUCAACACAUUCACAACAACAUAUAUAUUCACCCACCAUAUCAUAAUACAUCAAUUCAGUAAGCAAUCAUGUUCUUGGUAAACAAUGCAGUCACAUAUAAUCAAUAAUAAACGGAAACAUGGCAGCACUCAAACAUUCUUAAGAUAUAACAAUAUCAAAUGGUAAUUAACAUCAACUUAAACAUCUUAUAUAAUCCACAUAACGAACAUAUUUCACAUUAACCAACAUUAACCAACAUUACCCAACAUUAGGUUAAAUACUCUUAAACACCUUAAUUGAAUUCAUAAUACUUCUAGUUUUCGAGGUUUGAAAUUAUUCCCUAAGUUUUGGAUUAACUUAGAAACGGUUAUGCUGAAUUUUCAUAAGAUUUCACUAAGACCUACUUGGAGUAUUUCCAUCAUAACUUCUAAACCAAAAAUCAUUUUGAAGUCAAACCAAAGCCAUUGGAAAGCUAACAAAAUUAUCUACAACUUUUAUGUUUACACCAAAGGCCAAUUCAAAACAGAAACGUGUGAAAAAGACACAAGAACGCAAAAUAAGAAAUGCUGUAAAAAGGCAUUUCGCUUAAGCGAACGGUGCUUCGCUUAAGCGAACUACUUACAGUAGCUGUUCGCUUACAGCUCGCUUCCGGCUCGCUUAAGCGAACAGUCAUCGUUCCUGCAUAAUUUUUCACGGGUUUAAACCAUUUUUCACCCCAAAACUCCCAAUUUUGAUCUCCCAAUGCCCAAACAUGUUUCCAAAUAUUGUUUAUAGGUUCAUUAUACAAUUAGACAUCUAAAGGAACAUAAAACAUGCAUCAACAACAACAAAUACAGAUCAUUCCACCAUCAUACAAAUCUUCAUCAAUUCAUCCCAUCAAUCAUAAUUUCAAUCAAUUUAUGAUCACAACAACAGUAUAGAUUAAGUUUUCAUUCUAAACAUUACGUUACAACAGAAUUAACAUGAUCAAUACCCAUUCCCCUCAAAAUCAUCAUCAAACCCUAACCCUCAAUUUAUUUUCCAAAACUAUGCAAUUAGGUCAAUUUUCAGAAAUUAUAGAUUAUGAUUAUUGAGAGAUAGUCUCACCCUUACCUUAAUUUAGAUGAACAAAAGCACAACAAUCCGAUUCCCUUGGCUCUACUUGCUCUUCUCUCCCUUGUCCUUGGUUUUUCUCUCCCAAAACUUGUUUCACGUAAAACUGCUUCUAACCUUUUCUUUUCCUAACUCCCAAAAUAUAACUCCUCCUUUAUUUCAUUAAACUCCCCUUAAUUCUAUUAAUUCCUAAUUAACUCCCCAACCUCCAAAAUAAUAUUAAUUCUCACAUUAUUCUAAUUUAUAUUAAAAUAAACUAUAUAAUGAAAUAAUACACACCACAUAAUCAACCAAUAUUAUUUAAAAUCACAUAAAUUAUAUAAAUAUAUCCUAACUCAAUAAAAAUAAUUAAAUAAUCAAAUAAUUCAAGGAGGGCGUUACAACUCUACCCCUCUUAAAAGAAUUUCGUCCUCGAAAUUCAAAGCAAAAGAAAAUGAAUUCAGUUAGUGCAUAAAUACCCUUAAACUAUAUAUAGCAAGAUAUAACCUUCAAUCAAAACAUACAAACCACAUUAAGUUAAUCAAUCAACAUAAUCACUUAAUAAACAUAACAAUUUAUCAGGAAACACAACAAACAACAAUCAGGACAAAACAGACAACAUUAAGUUGACACUCUAGCCUAUGUGGCUCAACACGACUCUACUAUUUGGCCGGACGGACCAACCUGCUCUGAUACCAAUUGUAACAUCCCGUUUUCCCGACUUAGAAAUUUCAUUUAAUUAAUCAGAGUAAUCAUCAAAUAACGGAAUGCUACACUUCUAAAAAUCAUAAAACAGAUAAUUAACAAAUUAUCUUUCAACAUAAUUAAUUCAAAUACUUCGCAGCGGAUUAAGUUCAUCAUCAUAAAUAAGUUUUGGCACGCAGGCCUCAUCAAACGCAUUAUAAGUUCAGUAAAUCAACAUCAAAACAUAGCAUGUACGUAAAGGAAAGAGAAAUAGCCACUAAAGACCCCUCCCGUUACGUAUCAGAGCCCUAAGACACUUGAGCCACCACUCCUACUACACUUUAAUACCUGCAAGUUACCCAUACGAAGGGCAACAUUUUCAAGCAGAAGGGGUGAGAUUCACAAUCAAUAAUAAUAAUGUAUAAUUCAUCAAAUGCAACUAACAACUUAAACUCCAUUAAUUAGUAAUAGUAAUUCUUUUAACGGCUCCUAAACCAUAUCAUAUACUCAUCAUAUCAACAAUCAUAACUCGAUAUCAU
rnacentral:lncRNA from 1 species